rnacentral:rRNA from 1 species
UACGUAGGGCGCGAGCGUUGUCCGGAAUCAUUGGGCGUAAAGAGCUCGUAGGCGGCCGGUUGCGUCUGCUGUGAAAUCCCGGGGCUUAACCCCGGGCGUGCAGUGGAUACGGGCUGGCUGGAGGCAGGCAGGGGAGAAUGGAAUUCCCGGUGUAGCGGUGAAAUGCGCAGAUAUCGGGAGGAACACCGGUGGCGAAGGCAGGUCUCUGGGCCAUAACUGACGCUGAGAAGCGAAAGCAUGGGGAGCGAACAGG